rnacentral:rRNA from 1 species
UACGAAGGGGGCUAGCGUUGCUCGGAAUCACUGGGCGUAAAGCGCACGUAGGCGGCUUGUUAAGUCAGGGGUGAAAUCCUGGAGCUCAACUCCAGAACUGCCUUUGAUACUGGCGAGCUUGAGUCCGGGAGAGGUGAGUGGAACUGCGAGUGUAGAGGUGAAAUUCGUAGAUAUUCGCAAGAACACCAGUGGCGAAGGCGGCUCACUGGCCCGGUACUGACGCUGAGGUGCGAAAGCGUGGGGAGCAAACA